GCUUGUUGUACGAACGCCUCGGACGGCGCUAAUUAGUAAGUAUUAUCGUUAGCCAAUAGCGAAAGAUCAGACAUAAUUGCGGUUAUUUAAACGCUUGGCGCGAUAUCGGCCUUGUUAUUCUAUAAGAAUUUCAAGUCUCUGUGAUUGAGCAGCUUAGCUCUUCGCUAUUAAGUCAAAUUCUUCCUCCCUCUCCCCAACCAAUUUUGUAUUAUUAUAGAAAUAUUCUUCGUAAAACAAAUAACUGAAGUAUAAACAAC